rnacentral:rRNA from 1 species
UACGUAGGGUCCGAGCGUUGUCCGGAAUUAUUGGGCGUAAAGAGCUCGUAGGCGGUUUGUCGCGUCUGCUGUGAAAUCCCGAGGCUCAACCUGGGACACCACCCGAUACUGCUCUGGCUAGAGUCCGGUAGGGGAGCGUGGAAUUCCUGGUGUAGCGGUGAAAUGCGCAGAUAUCAGGAGGAACACCAGCGGCGAAGGCGGCGCUCUGGGCCGGUACUGACACUGAGGAGCGAAAGCGUGGGUAGCAAACAGG